CAGCGGAAAACCAACUCGGGCCCCGCCUCCCAGUACCGGCUUUUUCAUGACUGAUUGAUCAGUGGCCCAAUCGCAACGUCCCUCCACGGCAUCUACUGGUAUGAUUCAACCAAUCAAGCAUUUGAGGCUUUGGUCGAUGAGCAACACGUUAAGCGCCAGAAUAUUCAAGAAAUUUAGAGAACAUGGAAGGAUUUAAAUGUAUUCUGAAUUAACGUCAGUUGACUACAUAAAAAAAAAAAAGUUUUAGAAAAACAUUAAAAAAAACAAUCAGGUUGACGGCUUUUGUGUUUUUAAUGUUUAUUAACGUUACAGACCUUUAUCCUAUAUGUUCACUGUUUUGUUUUAUACUAAAACUACAGUUCUCAAGUCUGUCGCGUGAAUGAACUCUUUCGUCGUCAGCCGGGUUAAAAGACCUACGCUUAGCGAGAGGGGGUUUGUGAACGCAGCCUGUUUCACGGUUUUCUUUUGUUCCGGCUCAAUCUGUGUCCGUGACGGUGGAGAGUCUGGCUGGCCGCCAUUUAAUAGAACAAAGUUUAGAGCGUCACAAAAAAAGUACUGAAUACAUGGCACAUCCUGAGGUCUCGAGGAACAGGCUACACGAGCCUCACGUGAAUCGCAACAUCUCAACUUGCCAGUUGGGGUCACUGUUCACUAGCAGUAGUAGGUACCCGAAGAGAGACCUUAACCUAGGGGACCACUGGUAAAGUGCAUCCUCAGUAAAAAACUCAAAAUGGCAAGAUAGUGG